rnacentral:rRNA from 1 species
GUCUAACCUGCCCACUGAAAAUUUAAAUGGCCGCAGUAUUUUAACUGUGCAAAGGUAGCAUAAUCAUUAGUCUUUUAAUUGAAGGCUGGAAUGAAUGGUUGAAUGAGAUAUAAACUGUUUCAUAUAAAUUUACAAUAAAAUUUUAUUUUUUAGUUAAAAAGCUAAAAUUUAUUUAAAAGACGAGAAGACCCUAUAAAUCUUUAUAUUUAAAUUAUUUUAAUUAUUUAGAUAAUUUAAAUUAUGAUUAUUUUAAAUAUUUUAUUGGGGUGAUAUUAAAAUUUAAUAAACUUUUAAUUUUUUAUUAACAUAAAUUAAUGUAUUAUUGAUCCAUAAAUUAUGAUUAAAAAAUUAAGUUACUUUAGGGAUAACAGCGUAAUUUUUUUAGAGAGUUCAUAUUGAUAAAAAAGAUUGCGACCUCGAUGUUGGAUUAAGAUAUAAUUUUAGGUGCAGUAGCUUAAAUUUA